rnacentral:rRNA from 1 species
AUGAAGCUGGAAUCGCUAGUAAUCGCAGAUCAGAAUGCUGCGGUGAAUACGCUCCCGGGUCUUGUACACACCGCCCGUCACACCAUGGGAGUUGGAAAUGCCCGAAGCCAGUGACCCAACCGUAAGGAGGGAGCUGUCGAAGGUGGAGCCGAUGACUGAGGUGAAGUCGUAACAAGGUAUC